GAUGAACACUGGCGGCGUGCCUAAUACAUGCAAGACGAGCGAAUGGAUUAAGAGCUUGCUCUUAUGAAGUUAGCGGCGGACGGGUGAGUAACACGUGGGUAACCUGCCCAUAAGACUGGGAUAACUCCGGGAAACCGGGGCUAAUACCGGAUAAUAUUUUGAACUGCAUGGUUCAAAAUUGAAAGGCGGCUUCGGCUGUCACUUAUGGAUGGACCCGCGUCGCAUUAGCUAGUUGGUGAGGUAACGGCUCACCAAGGCAACGAUGCGUAGCCGACCUGAGAGGGUGAUCGGCCACACUGGGACUGGGACACGACCAAGACUCCUACGGGAGGCAGCAGUAGGGAAUCUUCCGCAAUGGACGAAAGUCUGACGGAGCAACGCCGCGUGAGUGAUGAAGGCUUUCGGGUCGUAAAACUCUGUUGUUAGGGAAGAACAAGUGCUAGUUGAAUAAGCUGGCACCUUGACGGUACCUAACCAGAAAGCCACGGCUAACUACGUGCCAGCCGCCGCGGUAA
rnacentral:rRNA from 1 species